UACGAAGGGGGCUAGCGUUGUCCGGAAUCACUGGGCGUAAAGCGCACGUAGGCGGAUCUUUAAGUCAGAGGUGAAAUCCCAAGGCUCAACCUUGGAACUGCCUUUGAUACUGGGGAUCUUGAGUCCGGGAGAGGUGAGUGGAACUGCGAGUGUAGAGGUGAAAUUCGUAGAUAUUCGCAAGAACACCAGUGGCGAAGGCGGCUCACUGGCCCGGUACUGACGCUGAGGUGCGAAAGCGUGGGGGGCAAGCAGG
rnacentral:rRNA from 1 species